CGAUUCUAGAUGCUGUUGUCUUUUGGCCGAUCACAGUGACAGACGUCUUCUUGAACUCGUAAUUUACUUGGGCAUAUACGAUUAGGCGAGGAAUUUAGCAAUAUCAAACUCGAUUUCUUCUAUGAAAAAAGAAUCCAUCGGAACUUGAUCAAUACGUAUAGUAAUUAUUGAUAAUAAAAUUUUCAAAGAAAGAGACAUUAUAUUGAUCAUAACUGCUAGAAAUUCAAUCAAAAAAAUACACGAGAAGAUGAGUUUUAAAAUAAAUUUAUUAUUCAUACUUGCUGUCUUCAGCAUGGGAUACCAAUGUAAUACAAAACCUGCAUCAAGUGAGACACAUGUUAAAAAUUGUAGCCUUCCAAAUGACCUUGGUACUUGCUUCAAGAAGGAGCCGGAACUCAAUGAAAGUUAUGAAUUGAGAUAUUGGUUUGAUUCGUCA